rnacentral:lncRNA from 1 species
AUUGGGGACGAAUGGCUUUGUAUAAAAGCCCGGUGGUUGCUGCCUAAAUCCUCCUUGUUGUUGGGGUUGUUGAGGAUCCCGCCAUUUGAAAUUCGGAUGGUCCCUCCACCCCGGAUUGUAGGAAUUAGAGUAUGGAUCAUGGCGUGGUUGAUUUUGGUUCCCAAAACCCACGGCAUUGGCAGCUUCCCAACCCCCAUUCUCAAUCAAUUGAGGGCAUUGAUCAUUGGCAUGUCCUUGCAUCGAGCACACG